rnacentral:siRNA from 1 species
UCCAAGCGGUGUUUGAGGUCC